CAGUCGCCGCGGGAAUACCAGCAGCCCAAGUGGUGGUCGCGCUUAUUGGGCCUAAAGCGCUCGUAGCCUGGCCGGUAAGUUCCCCGUGAAAUCGGGUCGCCCAACGAUUCGGCUUGCGGGGAAUACUGUCGGUCUUGGGGCCGGGAGACGCCGAGGGUACUCCGGGGGUAGCGGUGAAAUGCUGUAAUCCUCGGGGGACUACCAGUGGCGAAGGCGCUCGGCGAUAACGGGCCUGACGGUGAGGGGCGAAAGCUGGGGGCGCGAACGGGAUUAGAUACCCGAGUAGUCCCUGUCUCUUAUA
rnacentral:rRNA from 1 species